AUUUCCCUCUUUCUUUAGGCCUAACACAUGCAAGUCGAACGGCAGCACAGUAAGAGCUUGCUCUUACGGGUGGCGAGUGGCGGACGGGUGAGGAAUACAUCGGAAUCUACUUUUUCGUGGGGGAUAACGUAGGGAAACUUACGCUAAUACCGCAUACGACCUACGGGUGAAAGCAGGGGAUCUUCGGACCUUGCGCGAUUGAAUGAGCCGAUGUCGGAUUAGCUAGUUGGCGGGGUAAAGGCCCACCAAGGCGAGGAUCCGUAGCUGGUCUGAGAGGAUGAUCAGCCACACUGGAACUGAGACACGGUCCAGACUCCUACGGGAGGCAGCAGUGGGGAAUAUUGGACAAUGGGCGCAAGCCUGGUCCAGCCAUACCGCGUGGGUUAAGAAGGCCUUCGGGUUGGAAAGCCCUUUUGUUGGGAAAGAAAAGCAGCAGGUUAAUACGCCGCUGUUCUGACGGUACCCAAAGAAUAAGCACCGGCUAACUUCGUG
rnacentral:rRNA from 1 species